rnacentral:misc_RNA from 1 species
GAAAUGCGAUAAGUAAUGUGAAUUGCAGAAUUCAGUGAAUCAUCGAAUCUUUGAACGCACAUUGUGCCCGCCAGUAUUCUGGCGGGCAUGCCUGUUCGAGCGUCAUUACAACCCUCAGGCCCCCGGGCCUGGCGUUGGGGAUCGGCGGAAGCCCCCUGCGGGCACAACGCCGUCCCCCAAAUACAGUGGCGGUCCCGCCGCAGCUUCCAUUGCGUAGUAGCUAACACCUCGCAACUGGAGAGCGGCGCGGCCACGCCGUAAAACACCCAACUUCUGAAUGUUGACCUCGAAUCAGGUAGGAAUACCCGCUGAGCUUAAGC